UUCCUACGGGUGGCUGCAGUGGGGAAUAUUGGACAAUGGGGGAAACCCUGAUCCAGCAAUGCCGCGUGUGUGAAGAAGGCCUUAGGGUUGUAAAGCACUUUCGCCCGCGAAGAUGAUGACGGUAGCGGGAGAAGAAGCCCCGGCUAACUCCGUGCCAGCAGCCGCGGUAAUACGGAGGGGGCUAGCGUUGUUCGGAAUUACUGGGCGUAAAGAGCGCGUAGGCGGCUUAUUGAGUUAGGCGUGAAAGGCCUGGGCUUAACCUGGGAACUGCGCUUAAUACGGAUAGGCUUGAGUCCGGAAGGGGGUGGCGGAAUUCCCAGUGUAGAGGUGAAAUUCGUAGAUAUUGGGAAGAACACCGGUGGCGAAGGCGGCCACCUGGUCCGGAACUGACGCUGAGGUGCGAAAGCGUGGGGAGCAAACAGGAUUAGAUACCCCAGUAGUCC
rnacentral:rRNA from 1 species